rnacentral:rRNA from 1 species
AAGGUUUUCCGGUAUUUAUGGGGCGUAGACGCAGACGCGCAGCGCGGUUCUCUAUAAUGUCUGUAUGUGAAAGCCCCCGCUCUCCACCGGGAGAGGGUCAUGUGAGAAACUGGAGAGACUUACUGUGCAGAAGAGGAGAGUGGAAUUCCAUGUGUAGCGGUGAUAUGCAUAUAUAUAUGGAGGAACACCAGUGGCGAGCGCGGCUCUCUUGUCUGUAACUGACUCUGACGCUCGAAAGCGUGGGGAGCAAACAAGAUUAGAUACCCUGGUAGCUCCACGCCGUAAACGAUGAGUGCUAAGUGUUGGAGGGUUUCCGCCCUUCACUGCUGCAGCAAACGCAUUAACCCCUCCGCCUGGGGAGUACGACCGCGUGGUUGAAACUCAGAGGAAUUGACGGGGGCCCGCACAAGCGGUGGAGCAUGUGGUUUAAUUCUAAGCAACGCAAACAACCUUACCAGGUCUUGACAUCCUUUGACCACUCUAUAGAUAUAGCUUUCCCUUCAGGGACAAAGUGACAGGUGGUGCAUGGUUGUCGUCAGCUCGUGUCAUGAGAUGUUGGGUUAAGUCCCGCAACCAGCGCAACCCUUAUUGUUARUUGCCAUCAUUUACUUGCGCACUCUACCGACACUGCCAGUCACAAAACGGAGGAAAGUGGGGAUGACGUCAAAUCAUCAUGCCCCUUAUGACCUGGGCUACACACAUGCUACAAUGGGAAAUACAACGAGUCGCUAGACCGCCAAGUCAUGCAAAUCUCUUAAAACUUCUCUCACUUCCGAUUGCACGCUGCAACUCGCCUACAUGAAGCCAGAAUCGAUAGUAAUCCCCGAUCAACACCCUCCCGUGAAUACGUUCCCGGCCUUGUACACCCGACCUUCACACCCCAAAACUUUUUAACACCCGUAAUUCGCUAACGUAACCUUUUUGAUCCCACCCCCUAAAGUGGAAAAAUAAUUGGGGUAAGUCUUACAAGGUCCCCUAAACCCCUGCAUCCAUAUGAA